rnacentral:rRNA from 1 species
GAUGAACGCUGGCGGCGUGCCUAAUACAUGCAAGUCGAGCGAACAGACGAGGAGCUUGCUCCUCUGACGUUAGCGGCGGACGGGUGAGUAACACGUGGAUAACCUACCUAUAAGACUGGGAUAACUUCGGGAAACCGGAGCUAAUACCGGAUAAUAUAUUGAACCGCAUGGUUCAAUAGUGAAAGACGGUUUUGCUGUCACUUAUAGAUGGAUCCGCGCCGCAUUAGCUAGUUGGUAAGGUAACGGCUUACCAAGGCGACGAUGCGUAGCCGACCUGAGAGGGGGAUCGGCCACACUGGAACUGAGACACGGUCCAGACUCCUACGGGAGGCAGCAGUAGGGAAUCUUCCGCAAUGGGCGAAAGCCUGACGGAGCAACGCCGCGUGAGUGAUGAAGGUCUUCGGAUCGUAAAACUGUGUUAUUAGGGAAGAACAAAUGUGUAAGUAACUAUGCACGUCUUGACGGUACCUAAUCAGAAAGCCACGGCUAACUACGU